rnacentral:lncRNA from 1 species
UAUGCCACAGCGCCACGGAGUGCGGCUGCCACGGGCUUGGCCACUUCUCUCACCACCGAGCUGCGGCCAACUCAAGACCACCGGGUACCACCACCACCUCCGCCACCUGUCAUGCCGUCACCGCGAGCGACCACGUCAUCCCCAUUCGUGCGCCUCAGCAACGACAGACCACCCCUGCUCACCACCCAGCUGCCCCAACUACAUCAGCACCUGCCGUUAGUGCCAUCCCAGGUUGGAGGAGGCUCUCGCGAGAAUGGAGGUCUUAUCCACCACUGUUGCAUCUGUUGGAGCAACACCAUCAUCGGACUACACAUCUGUGAACAUCAAGGAUGACGGCUACAUGGAGGGGAUGGCUAUCAUAGCUCCACACACAAAGGCAUUGAACCACAAGGCCAACACCAUCCAAACCAC